GGCCUUCCAGUGCUUACCAUGAGCUGUGUUCUUACACCGCCUAUACAGAAAGAGGAGGCAGAGUAAACCCACUCCAUAUACACCUCAGCCCAGGCCCUCUGCCUGGUCUGUAUUAUGAAUGGAGGGACAUGG